GUCUGACGCGAGACACACGUUGUAAACGUGAUUUUAACAAAUCCGUAUACAUAUAACCAUUUAUUGACGGUUGUCAAUACGACAAUCUGGUAAUUUAGUCUCGAAGUUUAAGUGCAAAUUGUAAAGCUAGAAGUUAACACGUCGCGACCCUUGAAAGAAACUGAAAGUGAGCCUAAAGUGCAGCGAGUGGCAACCAAAGGGAAAAUGCCAAAUCGUACGGCGUAUUUAGCACACGAAACUUGGAGACCGAGCUUGGAGACCGAAGCCAACGACCGACAGAGAGAAAAAGCGGCACAAUAAACACACCGUAAGAGAGAUAGACAAACGCUGAACGAGAGAGUGACAGAGACAGAGGCGGACAGUAAGAGAGAGAGAAAGAAAGAGCGCAAAGAUCGAGCCAAAAAAACACGACCGCGCUGUCCAGUGAACAAGCGAUAACUGAACUGAACUGAAACACCACCAAAAAGUCGUCACACAGCGAUCAGUGAGCGGCGGGCAAGCGAACAGGUUGUAAACAACAGCUGAGUGAAGUCGGACACGCGUCGUAUGAUCAAUAUGGGAGAGCAUGCUGAGUGAGCGUAACAAAAAGAGAGCACGAGAGAGAGAGUGAGCACAAGUGAACAGGUGCUGACUGCUACGCAGUGAUGACAACUACUUUUUACGGACGGAAAAAGGACACACUGACCAGAGAAAAAAAUAGAAAAAAAUGUAAGCAAUAAAUGGGACAGAGUAUAGUAUAAGUAGAUUUAUAUUAAAUGUUUUGACUACUUUAUAGCACCAUGUUUAUUCUAAAAUAUUUGUCAUGUUUCAUGUGUUGAAAGAGGCAGAAAGUGUAAUGUAUUUCCCUUUUUGUAUCUAAAUAUGCACGGAUAAUAAAAAGAAUAGAUUUCCGGAUA